AAGAUUUUCCAUCCACCAGAAAAAUCGGGAACCGUUCCGAAUAAAUUUUUCCCAAUUAUCCUGAAAAUGACAAAAGAUUUUCUGUUUUAUAGUGGGAAAUUGGCGAUUGAUUUUGCUUUAGAUUGAUUGACCCUAAACUAUGAUUGAUCGGUCUCAAUCUUUAUUUCAAAUUGUGAUGGUUCAGUAAAAAGUUUAAGGAAGCUGAUAUUAUACGCCUUAUGAAAUAUUAGAAUUAUUACAACUAAUUUUUCGAAGAAUAAGUAUUCAUGGUAAUUUGGUCGUUAGUUUGUUUUUCGAUAAAUUCAAUCUGUAACGGUA